CUCGAACUCCGAACGGGCAAGGAGCCGGGGUCGCCCGAUCGGACCCCGGACGUGAAGUCGACGAUGGUCGGUGGGCUGGUUUUGGUAAGCAGACGGGCGAUUCGGGAUGAACCGGAAGCGGGGAGAAAGGGCCCGAGAUUGCGUCGACGCGGAUCCCGAAAAGGGCGUCGAUCCGUCGCGACAGCGGGACGGUGGUCAUGGAAGUCGAAAUCCGCUAAGAAGCGUGUAAAACGUACCCGCCCAACGGAUCGGCCCCGAAAAUUGAUGGCGCUCGAACGCAACCCUCGAACCCCGCCGACGGAGGCUAGGGGAGGCCCCGUCGAGUAGGCGGACGCGCGGGUCGCUUCGACGCUCCCGCGCGAGCGGGGGCGGAGCGGCCCGUGGUGCAGAUCUUGGUGGUAGUAGCGAUCACCCAGGCGAGAACCCUGCA
rnacentral:rRNA from 1 species